rnacentral:rRNA from 1 species
AGCGAACGCUGGCGGCAGGCCUAACACAUGCAAGUCGAACGAACUCUUCGGAGUUAGUGGCGGACGGGUGAGUAACACGUGGGAACGUGCAUUUAGGUUCGGAAUAACUAAGGGAAACUUGAGCUAAUACCGGAUGUGCCCUUAGGGGGAAAGAUUUAUCGCCUUUAGAGCGGCCCGCGUCUGAUUAGCUAGUUGGUGAGGUAAAGGCUCCCCAAGGCGACGAUCAGUAGCUGGUCUGAGAGGAAGAUCAGCCACUUUGGGACUGAGACACGGCCCAAACUCCUACGGGAUGGACGAAUGGGGGAUGCUGCGAAAUGGGCGAAAGCCUGACGCAGCCAUGCCGCGUGAAUGAUGAAGGUCUUAGGAUUGUAAAAUUCUUUCACCGGGGACGAUAAUGACGGUACCCGGAGAAGAAGCCCCGGCUAACUUCGUG